AUUGAACGCUGGCGGCAGGCCUAACACAUGCAAGUCGAACGGUAACAGGAAGAAGCUUGCUUCUUUGCUGACGAGUGGCGGACGGGUGAGUAAUGUCUGUGAAACUGCCUGAUGGAGGGGGAUAACUACUGGAAACGGUAGCUAAUACCGCAUAACGUCGCAAGACCAAAAAGGGGGACCUUCGGGCCUCUUGCCAUCGGAUGUGCCCAGAUGGGAUUAGCUAGUAGGUGGGGUAACGGCUCACCUAGGCGACGAUCCCUAGCUGGUCUGAGAGGAUGACCAGCCACACUGGAACUGAGACACGGUCCAGACUCCUACGGGAGGCAGCAGUGGGGAAUAUUGCACAAUGGGCGAAAGCCUGAUGCAGCAAUGCCGCGUGUAUGAAGAAGGCCUUCGGGUUGUAAAGUUCUUUCAGCGGGGAGGAAGGGAGUAAAGUUAAUACCUUUGCUCAUUGACGUUACCCGCAGAAGAAGCACCGGCUAACUCCGUG
rnacentral:rRNA from 1 species